ensembl:lncRNA
CCUCCAGGGGAUCUUCUGACCCAGGGAUCAAAUCCGCGUCUCCUGUGUCUCUUGAUUUGUUGGCAGAUUCUUUACCUGCUGAGCCUGUUGCUUACCUUCUUUACUUGCUGGGGAAGCUCGAUUAUCACUUAGGACCCAGUGGAAAAAAACAUGACACAGAGUUUAGCUAAAAGACUAUGUGCAAAAGUAUGGGUUGGGUAAAGAGAAAUAAGCAAAGGAAAAUGAAGCAGCAUGGAGCUAGCAACUUCAGGAAACUCUUAACCAUCUGUAGGCUUGAAAGGGCAAGGGAACUGAAUGGUUUAAAGAAUUCCAAGCUGUAGCUGUAGGAAAGGGCUAUCGGACAAGAGCUGAGGCCAAGGAACCUGGCCUGUCUGUGACAAGCUGUCAUGGCAGGAAGACAGGAAGAUCAAGAGCUUGACCUCAUUGUCCUGAGCCUUGGGUCUCUUGCCAGAACUUUCCAUCAGCUAAAUCCAGCUGGAAGCCAGUGGAUAUGAGAGCCCAUUGAUGCUGUCUGUAAAGCCCCCCGUGGCACAGAGUAGGGUGCAAAGAGUGGAUCUGAGGGGCAAAAGGAAAACACGCAACAUGUGGUCUUUAUGUGGGGUUGAAAAGUUUCCUGGAGUGUAAGUUUUCUCCCAAACUAGACUUAAAGGGUAGAGACCAUGACUUGUGAUUGAUCUUUGUCUUCCACAGUGCUUAGCUCAGUGUGAAAUAGGAAAAGUGUCAAAAUGCAUAUACAUUGAGAUUGUAUGAAAAAUAAAGGGGGAGAGGGCUGGUUCUAACCUCCCACACCUUUUUUUUUUUUAAUUGGAGGAUAAUUGCUUUGCAAUAUUGUGUUGGUAUCUGCCACACAACAACACAACAUAAUUAUAGGUGGUGCUAGUAGUAAAGAAGCCACCUUCCAGUGCAGGAGACGUAAGAAGUUCAGGUUUGAUCUCUGGGUUGGGAAAGUCCCUUAGAGGAGGGCAUGGCAACCCACUCCAGUGUUCUUGCCUGGAGAAUCCCAUGGAUAUAGGAGCUUUGUGGGUUACAGUCCAUAGAGUUGCAAGGAGUCGGACAUAACUUAAGUGACUUAGCACACAUGCGUACAUAUAUAUGCAAUCUCCCUUCUCUCUUGAACCUCCUCCUCCCUAUUUCCCACUUUUGGUUUGCUAUCUUUUGAAGCAUCUAAGCCUUACUUUCCCAACUCAAAGUAAAAUCCAGUUUCCUUAAUGUGGCUUUAGCUGUCCCUCUGACCUCAACCCUGUGACUUCCUAGCUCUUGCCCCUGCCACUACUCUAGCCAUAUGCCCUCUAGCUAUGCCCCAAGUAUAUUUCCACUUCAGGGCCUGUGCAUCUGCUGGGCCCUUUGCCUGCAGAUUUCCACAUGCUUUGUACUUCUUUCAAGUCUGCUAUAAUGUUGUCUUAUCAGAGAGGCCUUCACUGAUGAUCCUCAGUAAAACAGUACCAUCUCCCAUUUCUCUGUCCCCUCUUACCUCACAUCAUGUUCUGUACAGUAUUUACCACUCUCUGACAUGUGAUAUAUGUAUUGUCCAUUACUUGUUAUCCUCCUUGCAACAGAAGACAAGACCUAUGGAGCAAGGAUCUUAUUUUGCUUUGUUCCAAAUACCAAGAUCAAUGCCUGUCAUGUAGUAGGAGCUGAUAAUUGAUUAUAUACAUACAUAUAUAGUUCCCCACCCCCCCACUAUUCAAAGUACAGCAUUCUUUUGAAACCUUUCAUAAGCCAAAAUGGCAUCAAGUGGAGAAAUAGUGACCUUAGGACAUACCCUGCUAACAAAGGAGCAGAAUAAGUCCAGAUAAAGCAGACAGGUUCAAAGCGAUGGCAGCUUUGGGCUGAGAUGCAGUUUCAGGGAAAGGAAUUUUGUGGCAUCACUCUGGUUCCUUGAG